CACACACACACACACACACACACACACACACACACACACGUUCACCUUCUCUGGAAUUCUAAUCAGACACACCUGUUUCCAAUCUCACACACACACUCACACCACAGUAUAUAAGAGACUGUUCAAAUGCUAUGACUUUGCAUAGUAUUGAGUUUUUCUCAUACCAAGCGAUUGUUCUUUGUUUCUUGUUUCGUUUCAUUGUUCGCUGACCUCGUUUCUUGACUCUGAUUAUUGCCUCACCCUAUUUAUGCCUGCUUGCUGAUCGCCUGACCUUUUGCAUGUUUUUGGACCAUGCUUUGGAUUACUAAUUUGGAUUUGUCUGCCUAUCUCUCUAAUAUAGUUUUUUUUUUACUGCAAUUGCAUCCGUCCUCAACUCCCUUACUUUCUGGAAUGUGACAGUUUCCAAUAUCUCUCCUUGUAGCACUCCAGUCAUUCCAUAUAUUUGUUAAAUUCCAUCACCUGCACAUCUGAUUAAUCUUAAUUAGAUACCGAUUAGGAGAAAUUGGUGUAAUAGUCAUGGAAUUUAGCAGCUAAAUGGAUGUAUUAGAUGGUAAUUAAUAAUACCAUGAGAAACUGGGCAUGUCAAAGGCAGGAAAUGUAGAUGAACACCCUAAAGCCUGACUCUUAAAAGCAAUUUUCUUAAGGUACAGUAAGAAACACAGCCAAAUGCUUGAACAGCAUCUGGCAGUGUUACCUGGCACCAAAAUACAUGCUUUGACUUCUGUGGAAAAGCUAAGCAUGAGUGAUUGUACUAUGUUGAAAACCUUAAAGCAUAACCAACAAUCAGAGGCAGAACUGGAAUUUUGAGAUUUUGAUUCAUAAAGGUGUGAGUAUGACAGGAGAACUACAAGCCUGCAUGUCGGCACUUUUUUGUGAACCAUAAUGAUGUCUGUUUCAGUAUGGCAAUGCACCUGUUAAAAAUCAAUCAAAUAAUAAUCUAACAAUAUAAACUGAUUUCGAUACAUUUCUUUGGGAAAAUGAUCUACUGCUCAAAGCUUCUGCGUGAUAAUGUUAAUCACCAAUCCCACUCCAAACAGGUUUAAGGCUUAGUCUGAACUGAAAGUCAGAUUGGUUAAUUACUGGUAUUAAGUAUCUGAGAUCAACAUAAGGAAAGGAAAAGCAGCCAAGACUGUCAUGAUUAUUAAAAAAUAUUUUGCAGAGCAAUAUUGCAGUUUUGCUUUCUUACACUAUAAUACUUCAAUUUAAUACCUUUUAUAACACAGCUGUUAUAUAUAAGUAUAAUAUAUGUGUGUGUGUAUAAGGGAAGAGAGAAAAUGAGGGGGAAAAGGUAAGUUUUUUUUUUUUAGGUGAAGGCGAGCAUAUAUAAUAUAUAUAGGUCCUUCUUCCUCUGUGAGAAACAAACUUUGUUUAAUGAAGACCGGCAGACUGCCAAAACUCUGCCCUCCUUCACCUCCAGUGAUAAUUACUCGCCCUCCUUCUGCUUCCCCUUCAUCUCUUUUCACUUCACUCCUUCUGUUUUUGUUCAUCUUGAUCUUCUGCCUUUUUUCCCCCUCCUUUUCUCUCAUCCCUUCCCACGUUUCUUUCUCUCCCAGGCCCAGUCUUAUCCUCAUUCUGUCAUCAGGGAAAAGGAACUGUAACCUUGAGCUGUGGCACAAGUCCC
ensembl:lncRNA